GCACCGGCUAACUCCGUGCCAGCAGCCGCGGUAAUACGGAGGGUGCGAGCGUUAAUCGGAAUUACUGGGCGUAAAGCGCAUGCAGGCGGCCUGUUAAGUCAGAUGUGAAAGCCCGGGGCUUAACCUCGGAAUUGCAUUUGAAACUGGCAGGCUAGAGUCUUGUAGAGGGGGGUAGGAAGUUUCAGGUGUAGCGGUGAAAUGCGUAGAGAUCUGAAGGAAUACCAGUGGCGAAGGCGGCCCCCCUGGACAAAGACUGACGCUCAGAUGCGAAAGCGUGGGGAGCAAACAGGAUUAGAUACCCUGGUAG
rnacentral:rRNA from 1 species